rnacentral:rRNA from 1 species
GACGAACGCUGGCGGCGUGCCUAACACAUGCAAGUCGAACGGGGUGAUUCCUUCGGGGAUCACUUAGUGGCGAACGGGUGAGUAACGCGUGAGAAACCUGCCUUUCAGUGGGGGACAACAGUUGGAAACGACUGCUAAUACCGCAUAAUGUUAUUUGGGGGCAUCCUUGAAUAACCAAAGCUUUAUGUGCUGAAAGAUGGUCUCGCGUCUGAUUAGCUAGUUGGUGAGGUAACGGCUCACCAAGGCGACGAUCAGUAGCCGGUCUGAGAGGAUGAACGGCCACAUUGGGACUGAGAUACGGCCCAGACUCCUACGGGAGGCAGCAGUGGGGAAUAUUGGGGCAAUGGGGGAAACCCUGACCCAGCAACGCCGCGUGAAGGAAGAAGGCCUUCGGGUUGGUAAACUUCUUUUACCUAGGGACGAAGAACGUGACGGUACCUGGAGAAAAGACAACGGCUAACUACGUG